rnacentral:rRNA from 1 species
AUGCAGCUCGCAGCCAGCGGCGGCGACGUUGGCGCGGAGGGCGCCCCGAUGCCAUUCGCAGCUAGCGGCGGCGACGUUGGCGCGGAGGGCACCCCGAUGCACUUCGCAGCCAGCGGCGGCGAUGUUGGCGCGGAGGGCGCCCCGAUGCCGUUCGCAGCCAGCGGCGCCGCCAUUGGCGCGGAGGGCGCCCCGAUGCAGUUCCUUGCCAGCACCGGAGCCGGCGCCGUUGGCGCGGAGGGCGCCCCGAUCCAGUUCGUUGACAGCGCCGCCAUAGGCACGGAGGGCGCCCCGAUGCAGUUCGUUGGCGUGGAGGGCACCGCCUGGAAUACCAAUGCACAAGCAGAAGAGAAAAACUCAUGGAUGGAGUUCACCUCCGACGACGCCUGGUACACUAACAUUGAUAUGGACAAGGAUGAUUUCUUGAUGCAGUUCAGCUUCAAUGAUGUUUGGUACCGAAGCGCUGAUUGA